AAUGCACCAGGACUUGAUGGAAAUGUGAGAUUUACUAUGGCCCAGACAGCAGCUGUACGCAAUCGGCUGUCAUUACUCUGCAAGAACUUGAUUAUGAAAGAUUGGGUCUCAUUGUCCACUUGUGAAAGAAGUUGUUGCAUAACCGCUUCCUUAUGAAACUCAUUUCCACUAGCCAAAUUACAUAGCACAUACAUUCCCUGUAUGCCAACUUCAGCUUUUGAAGUAUUCUCUAAUUGCUUUCUAACAGCAUCUAAUAUAAUACCACUUUCAGUAAAGACAAACUCAACCGAGCUUAUAGAUCCUUCAAUAAGAUUCCGAACAA
rnacentral:misc_RNA from 1 species